rnacentral:tRNA from 1 species
CGCGGCCGGUUCGGCUGUUGUGGUCGCGGUCGCGGUGACCGCCGGGUGGGGGCAGCCCGCGCCGGUGCUGAUCCCGGUCGCCGGGU